ensembl:lncRNA
CUAAAAAUCUCUCUUUUCUCUCUGUUACCUGCUGUGCAAGGUCUUUGAUGACUCCCAUUCUGGGACUGUUAAAGAAAUCACGUCAACAGCAAAUACAGCAGCUCUUAUAUUUUUUAUCCCUUCUUCUUGUUUCAUGUACAAAACAGUUGGGGAAAAUCAAGGUGCAAGUACUGUCAGCAAAGACUUUCUUCUGGAAGAAAUUGCUACUCUUUUCCCACCUCUUGCAGUCAACAGCCCCAAGAGAAAUUAUGCAAUGGUUAGGAGAAAAAAGUCCAUGCUGGGGGAGCUGAUUGUCACUGCCUACAUGAAGAGCUUAUCUACGCUCCUCAUCCAAGUACUUCAGGUUCAGUUUAUCAAAUUAUGAGUUAAAUAUUCUUGAAAAUAUUAUUAGUGUCUCAGAUUGCCAAGUGCUGUGCCAUUACUUUGAUCUGAACCUCUACACACUGACAUUUUUGGCUUUGAAGUUAAGUCAUUGUUUCAUAUUUGGCAAAGCACUUGGGGAAAUAUUUCCAAAUUACAGCUAUAUGGUAAAGCAGCUUGUCAGUGAGAAGGUACUAUCACAUCACAGGGGAAUUUCAAAUCCCAGCAAACUGAUGGUUCGUCUGGCUUUCUUCUAUCUUUUUAGUGUGAUUCAUAUGUUGAUUAAUAUUAAAAGGUUACUUGUCUUGACCAUAAUAUAGUAGCCAAGGUAAGGCAUAAACACUAUUAAGAUUAUAAAUACAAAGACAUUCACAGAUUCAGUUCAGGUAGAAGAAAUGCCUCUUAAAGGGUACAUACUGACUUAAAGAAAAACAAAAAUAUGUGGAAUAUUUAGAAUGUUGCUUUCACUUUGUCACUAGUAUUAGUCCCAUUAAUUUUAUGCUGCUCUCUACUGGCAACUGAUCAGAUAACCAGGAUAACUCAGAAUUCAUUCUGUUUUGUAGGUCAUUAAUUUUGAAUUUUAGGAGUCCGUUGUCUGGUUUCAGGACAGUUUCCCUGGAUACUUCCCCUCACUUCCAAAAUCCACUUUUCUGUUGGGUGUAAGUAAGUCAAAAUAACUCCAGUAUAUUCUGGAAGAAACAUCCUUUUUCAUCAUUCCUACUGAAGCGGAAUGAUGUAGUAUUCUACACUCAAUCAUGUGAAAGUUCUGUGGAUAACACUGAGACAGGAUUAUUACAAAUAUUAAUACUGUAUGUCAGGCAAUUUGAUCAAUGGCUUUUCUUCUUUAGUCAGAGGAAAAUUUUUAUUAAAAAUUUGAAACAGUUACCAAGUCUAACGUAAUAAACAACAGAUAAUUUCUUUCCCGCUCUAGUUCUACAACACUAAUACCAAAAAUGGACAGAGACAGUAAAGUGAUGUUCUUCUCUGAAAAUAAGUUCUCACAAAUAAUGUUUCCACAGGAGAUAAUUGUUCUUUGCUUCUUUUUUUUUUUCCUUAAUUUGAGCUUGUUUAAUUACAUAGUAGGUCUUAUGUCAGUAUGUGGUUUUUACCUAUGUUGUAGACUGUAGCUGGAGUAAUGCAUGUUACUUUGCUCUUAUCUGUUCUAAUCAAUCUGUUUUCUCAUUCAGUCCAAAGGACUUCCUUCUUAUAACCACCUGGUUAAUACUUCUCUUCCUCUCUUGUAAAUACACAGUUUACAAUGAGAGUUCCUGUGUUUGGCACCAAGUAUUAGGUCACAGAUACUACCCUACUGAUGAAUUCUUCAGUAUUUUUCAGUAUUAGAUUUUUUGUUACUCUUCUUGUAUAUCAAACUUACGUCAUCAUUAAGAUCAGGAGGCAACUUUAGCUUUCAGUUUUGGCUGACAAUUGCUUACCAUUAAUCUUAAAAGUUUGUUAGAGAGAUAAAGAAUGGUCUUAUUGUAGUUAGUAACAACAAUUCAGAUUCUUUUGCACUGAAAAGUAAGAUGUUUUCUUCCAUAGAACCAAAGAUACUCAGUUACUCUCUAUUAAAAUUCUGACUUUGGUUUUGACUUCAGGUAACAGAUGCAGUACAAUCCCAAUGUGUUUGUUUUUUUUUUUUUAAUAUAAUCACUAUCUAAUAUCCAAUAAUACAAAAGCUCCUUCCAAAUUUAUAUCCUUGCAAAUUUAUAUCCAAAAAAAAAGAAACACUAAUGGGAUGGAAAAUGUAUAUUACAUCAAAGAAAGUCUGGACACUGCAGUAUGCAAACAACCAGUCUGUUUAUCAUUUUGAAUCUAGCUUGUUGGCCCUUCCCCUUUCAACAACAGCUCCUUUUCAGGAUGCUCAAAAUAUGAAACAAAUGAAAGCAAGUCUCCUGAGACUGAAAAUCUGCCACAAAAGACAACAUGUAGUAAAGGAAAUGAUAGAGGAAUACCCACAUACAUGGUGCAAUGGCUGCUGUCUUUGGUGAGAUGUGCAGAGGUGGAAUGAAACAGAAAGAAGAAGAAUUCAAAAUGCAUCAGAAGCAGUGAAUCUGGAAUACAAAAGUUUCACUCUUAUACCGGAGUAUAGGAAGUGUCUACUAAGCAAUCCACACCCACAUGAUGCCCAAAGAAACAUUCAGAUUUAUGAGCAUGCAAUUUGUAAAGCAUCUAUCUCUUACAUGUUCUCUCAAAUGAGAGAAUCAUAACUAAAAACAGAAAUGUACU